GCAAGAGCAAGAGCAACAGCAACAGCGUAGUACAUUGUGAUUGGCAAAACACAAACCCAUAAUCCUGUUUAUUAAAUCUGACACAGGGGACUGAGGCCUACACGUGACUCCCCCAUAACUCACUUUGUUGCCACUCUACUAGAAUGUGUCCAAAGAGUAUGGGUUAUCCCCAUCCCCAUUCCCAACUUGUAACUUGUUCUUGUACAACUGAAGUCCCUCCUUGUGGAGUUACUGUCCACUCAACCUCACACAAACACAGCAAAUUGAAUCACAUUAUAUUUGUUUAAGUGAUCAAUAAACACUUACGAAGUGAUCGAUUAUGAAUAAUAAACACCCUUUUAUAUGAAUUCACUACUCACAAUUAAUUAUCUCCAUCAAAAUUAUAUCAAAUUUGGAACUUUCUCAUAAAGCAAAUUCUUUUUCUGUCUCCCACCCUCCUUUCCAUUUGUUUAUUAUUAACAUCAAUUUCUCAUAUAUGACUAAUUGACAAUCACCAAGGCUGUGUGAUCCCACUUACUAUAUUUAUAUUUAUAGUACAUCUUUUGGUUGGAUUUAUUCCUAUUUUUUAAUGGGAACCGACUUAGCACUUAGCUGAAAUAGAAAGUGAUUUCAGCACUGUUAAGAGGCAGGGACGAAUAGAAAUUCAAGAUCAUGCUAUUUAUGGGUGUCAUCAACGACCUCUAUUAUCCUUCUUUGGAAACCAAACCGCCCUCCUUAUUAUAAUAUUUUAAUAUAUGUAUCACAGGCACAGCUUGUGACUCUCUCACUCCCUUUGGAUCCAUGUCUUGGAGAUGUGUUACAUAAAAAUUAUUCUGAACCCAUCAAGAAAGUUUGUCUGUGAGUUUGUUUAUCUAUGAAAAAAAUACUACUACUAUUAGUACAGGUGGUCCCUGCUAAGUGCUGGGAUUGAAGGCAAAGCACAGACAGUGGAGGUGGUGAUCGAGAUGAUGUGGUUUUUUCCAUGAAAUGGGGUUGGGAUUUACUGGACACACUUUGGAUUCUCUAAUAAAACUUUCUCCAACCUGCUUUGUAUCUCAGUUUGAGCCAGACUGAUUCUCAGACAUCUGGGUUUUGUUUCCUGAAGCUUUAAAAAACGAGUUUGGGUGAGAAUGUCUUCUUCAAGGCCUAGCCAUUCAUCCAGCAAUUCAGGGCGCUCAAGACACAGUGCCAGGAUUAUUGCUCAGACCACUGUUGAUGCAAAGCUUCACGCAGAUUUUGAGUCAUCAGGUGAUUCUUUUGAUUACUCUAGCUCAGUGCGUGUUACCAGUGCAGUUACUGGGGAUCAACAACCCAGGUCUGACAAAGUAACCACAGCUUACCUCCAUCACAUACAGAAAGGCAAGCUGAUCCAGCCAUUUGGUUGCUUGCUAGCCUUAGAUGACAAAACUUUCAAGGUCAUUGCAUACAGUGAGAAUGCCCCUGAAAUGCUGACCAUGGUCAGUCAUGCAGUCCCAAGUGUUGGAGACCACCCAGUUCUUGGCAUUGGAACAGAUGUAAGGACUAUUUUCACUGCACCCAGUGCCUCUGCAUUGCAGAAGGCCCUAGGGUUUGCAGAUGUUUCUCUUUUGAAUCCCAUUUUAGUCCAUUGCAAGACAUCUGGGAAGCCCUUUUACGCAAUUGUGCAUCGGGUAACAGGUGGCUUGAUCAUUGAUUUUGAGCCAGUGAAGCCUUAUGAAGUCCCCAUGACGGCUGCUGGUGCCCUGCAAUCAUACAAGCUUGCAGCCAAAGCAAUUACCCGAUUGCAGUCUUUGCCUAGUGGUAGCAUGGAAAGGCUUUGUGAUACAAUGGUUCAGGAGGUUUUUGAGCUCACAGGUUAUGACAGGGUGAUGGCAUAUAAAUUUCAUGAUGAUGAUCAUGGUGAAGUGGUCUCUGAGAUUACAAAGCCAGGACUAGAGCCAUAUCUGGGUUUGCAUUAUCCAGCCACUGAUAUCCCUCAGGCUGCUCGUUUCUUAUUUAUGAAGAAUAAGGUCCGUCUGAUUGUUGAUUGUCACGCCAGAAAUGUGAAGGUGCUUCAAGAUGAGAAGCUUCCAUUUGAUCUGACAUUGUGUGGUUCAACCUUAAGGGCUCCACACAGUUGCCAUUUACAGUACAUGGAGAAUAUGAAUUCCAUUGCUUCUCUGGUUAUGGCAGUUGUAGUCAAUGAGGGGGAUGAAGAAGGGGACAACUCUAACUCUGUGCAGCCACAAAAGAGAAAGAGACUUUGGGGUUUAGUAGUAUGCCAUAACACAACUCCAAGGUUUGUUCCAUUCCCUCUUAGGUAUGCUUGUGAGUUCCUAGCCCAAGUAUUUGCCAUUCAUGUGAAUAAGGAAUUAGAGUUGGAAAAUCAAAUUGUUGAGAAGAACAUAUUACGUACCCAAACACUCUUGUGCGAUUUGCUGAUGCGAGAUGCACCCUUGGGAAUUGUUUCACAAAGCCCAAAUAUAAUGGAUCUCGUGAAGUGUGAUGGUGCUGUCCUAUUAUACAAGAAUAAGAUAUGGAGACUGGGAGUUACUCCAAGUGAUUUCCAGCUGCAUGACAUAGCAUCAUGGCUCGAGAAGUACCAUAUGGAUUCUACAGGUUUGAGUACAGAUAGUCUGUAUGAUGCGGGGUUCCCAGGGGCUCUUGCGCUUGGUGAUGAAGUAUGUGGCAUGGCAGCUGUGAGGAUAACUUCCAAGGACAUGAUAUUCUGGUUUCGCUCCCACACUGCUGCUGAAAUUCAAUGGGGUGGUGCAAAGCAUGAACCUGGUGAGAAGGAUGACGGUAGGAGGAUGCACCCGAGAUCUUCAUUCAAGGCUUUCCUUGAUGUUGUCAAGACAAGGAGUUUACCCUGGAAGGACUAUGAAAUGGAUGCAAUCCAUUCUUUGCAGCUUAUCUUGAGGAAUGCAUUUAAAGAUGUUGAAGCAACGGGUAUAAGUAACAAUGCAAUUAACAUGAAGCUUAGUGACCUCAAAAUUGAAGGGAUGCAAGAACUGGAAGCAGUGACAAGUGAGAUGGUCCGUUUAAUUGAAACAGCCACAGUGCCAAUUCUGGCAGUAGAUGUUGAUGGGCUGAUAAAUGGGUGGAAUACAAAGAUUGCAGAAUUAACUGGUCUUGCUGUUGAUAAGGCAAUUGGAAAUCAUUUUCUCACACUUGUAGAAGAUUCUUCAACUGACAUGGUCAAAAGGAUGUUGUCCUUGGCACUGCAGGGAAAAGAAGAGCAGAACAUCCAAUUUGAGAUCAAAACACAUGGGUCUAAGAGUGACUCUGGUCCCAUCAGCUUAGUUGUGAAUGCAUGUGCAAGUAGGGAUCUUCGAGAUAAUGUUGUGGGGGUUUGUUUUGUGGCCCAGGACAUCACUGGUCAGAAGAUAGUCAUGGAUAAGUUCACCAGGAUUGAAGGCGAUUACAAAGCUAUUGUACAAAAUCCGAAUCCAUUGAUUCCUCCAAUAUUUGGUACGGAUGAAUUUGGGUGGUGCUGUGAGUGGAAUCCAGCAAUGACAGUGGUAAGUGGGUGGACACGAGAGGAAGUGAUAGAUAAAAUGCUCUUGGGGGAGGUUUUUGGGACACACACAUCUUGCUGUCGUCUCAAGAAUCAGGAAGCUUUUGUAAAUCUUGGAGUUGUACUUAAUAAUGUAAUGACUGGUCAGGAAUCUGAGAAGGUCACUUUCGGUUUCUUUGCUCGGAGUGGAAAGUACGUGGAGUGCCUGCUAUGUGUGAGUAAGAAAUUGGACAGAGAGGGUGCAGUCACUGGGGUCUUUUGCUUCUUGCAACUUGCUAGCCAGGAGCUGCAACAAGCACUUCAUAUACAGCGUUUAUCUGAGCAAACUGCCAUGAAGAGAUUGAAAGCAUUGGCUUAUAUAAAAAGGCAGAUACGAAAUCCUUUAUCUGGGAUUAUAUUUUCUCGGAAAAUGAUGGAAGGUACUGAGUUAGGAGUUGAACAAAAACAGCUUCUGCAUACUAGUGUCCAGUGCCAGCACCAGAUCAGCAAGGUUAUUGAUGACUCAGAUCUUGAUAGCAUCAUUGAUGGCUACUUGGAUCUCGAAAUGGUUGAAUUUACACUGCAUGAAAUAUUGGUUGCCUCUAUAAGUCAAGUCAUGACAAAGAGCAGUGACAAGGGAAUCCUAAUGGUCAAUGAUGUGGCAGAGGAGAUUGUGAAUGAAACCUUAUAUGGUGAUAGUAUUAGGCUUCAACAGGUCUUAGCUGAUUUCUUGUUGAUAUCAGUAAAUUAUGCAGCAACUGGAGGCCAGCUUAAUGUUGCAGCCAGUUUGACCAAGGAUCAACUAGGGCAAUCUGUUCAUCUGGCACGUCUUGAGCUCAGGAUUUCACAUUCAGGUGGAGGGGUGCCAGAAGCAUUGCUGAACCAGAUGUUUGGAACUGAUGGAGAUCCAUCUGAGGAGGGAAUCAGCCUGUUCAUUAGCAGAAAGCUAUUAAAGCUCAUGAAUGGAGAUGUACGGUAUCUAAGGGAAGCAGGAAAAUCAACCUUCAUCAUAUCUGUUGAACUUGCUGCCACACAAAAGUAGCAGGCCUAAAUGAUUUUCAAAGAAAAAUGUUGCGCAAUCUAUUUAUUACCGUUUGAGAGGAACAGAAGCUCAAAGCUGUAUUUCACUUGCAAUAUUUGUGGCAUUUGUUUUAUGAUGAAUGCCAUAAUGGUUCCCUCUCGAGCAAUCUUGCAGUGAGGACAGCUGAUAGAACUCUCCUUUAGUUGCUUCAAUUGUAGUGUAAGGUUGAAGGAGCUGGUAAGGAAACCUUCUUCGUAAGGUUUCAGAUAGUGAAUUGAGGUAUAGACUUGAUAGAUGAUUAUAGUCAUUUGGCUGACUAUUGAAAGAAAAAGCUUGCAGCUAACUCAAAAAGGACAACAAUUACCAGAGAUUGUUUGUCCUUUCUGUUCUGGCUAUUCAGCUGAGAAUGAUUUUGGCUGGGGUUUCUCAAAUGAUGAUGGCAAAAACGUUACAAAGACUCAUGUGCCUAAUAAUCCAUCUUGGAAAGCAAGCUUCCCAAGUGAACAUAUGCCUUUUUCCUUGUUGGUAUUCUGUUUAGAUUGCUUUUUGAUCAGUAAUUUUUAGAUCUGUGUUGUUGGAACUUUUAGGUCUAUGUAUUUUUGGAUUUCACAAG